AGUGAACGCUGGCGGCGUGCCUAAUACAUGCAAGUCGAACGGAGUGGCGCGCGGGUGAGUAAUGUAUAGCUAAGCAGCCCUACACUAGAGGAGAACAGUUGGAAAAGGCUGCUAAUACUACCUAGUGUAGGAUGAGGGUAUAUUGUAUCAGCUAGUUGGUGAGGUAAUGGCUCACCAAGGCUAUGACGCAUAACUAUUGUGAGAGGAUGAGCAGUCACACUUGAACUGAGAAACGGGCCGGACUCCUACGGGAGGCAGCAGGAGCGUAAUGUGCUCAAGGGGGGAAACCCUGAAGCAGCAUCGCCGCGUGAAGUAUGACACUUUUCGUGGCGUAAACUCAGUUUGUUAGGUAAGCGUUACCUAACGAAUAAGCACCGGCUAACUCCGUGCCAGCAGCCGCGGUAAUAC
rnacentral:rRNA from 1 species